rnacentral:rRNA from 1 species
CCUACGGGAGGCUGCAGUGGGGAAUAUUGCACAAUGGGGGAAACCCUGAUGCAGCAACGCCGCGUGAGCGAUGAAGGCCUUCGGGUCGUAAAGCUCUGUCCUAAGGGAAGAAUAUUGACGGUACCUUAGGAGGAAGCCCCGGCUAACUACGUGCCAGCAGCCGCGGUAAUACGUAGGGGGCUAGCGUUAUCCGGAAUUACCGGGCGUAAAGGGUGCGUAGGCGGUCCUUCAGAGCAGAGGUGAAAGGUCACGGCUCAACCGUAGUAAGCCUUUGAAACUGUAGGGCUUGAGUGCAGGAGAAGAGAGCGGAAUUCUCAGUGUAGCAGUGAAAUGCGUAGAGAUUGGGAGGAACACCAGUUGCGAAGGCGGCUCUCUGGACUGUAACUGACGCUGAGGCACGAAAGCGUGGGGAGCGAACAGGAUUAGAUCCCCGGGUAGUC